GAUGAAGAACGUAGCGAAAUGCGAUAAGUAGUGUGAAUUGCAGAAUUCCGUGAAUCAUCGAAUCUUUGAACGCACAUUGCGCCUUCUGGUAUUCCGGAAGGCAUGCCUGUUCGAGAGUCAUUAACAACCGUUUCGAUCCCUUUCUUUCAGAAAUUACAAAGAGGAAAAGGGUUUGGUUAUGGUGGAGGAGGGAAAGGGAGCGUUUAGCCUGUAAAAAAAGAGGCUGUGUUCCGCCUCCCCCCCAAAAUUGUACAGGCGGUCGUGUGCGCCCACGCAUCGAGGUGUUGUAAAAGCCGCCACGGCACUUUUCACCUGUGCAGUGCGAGAUUGGCCAGCCGGUUUAAAAACCCCUCCAAACAAUCAAAGGUUGACCUCGGAUCAGGUAGGGAUACCCGCUGAACUUAAGCAUAUCAAUAAGCGGAGGA
rnacentral:misc_RNA from 1 species